AGGACGAACGCUGGCGGCGUGCUUAACACAUGCAAGUCGAGCGGAAAGGCCCUUCGGGGUACUCGAGCGGCGAACGGGUGAGUAACACGUGAGUAACCUGCCCCUAGCUCCGGGAUAGCUCCGGGAAACCGGAAUUAAUACCGGAUGUGAUCACGGCCGACAUCGGCCACGAUGGAAAGGUUUAUCGGCUAGGGAUGGGCUCGCGGCCUAUCAGCUUGUUGGUGGGGUAAUGGCCUACCAAGGCGACGACGGGUA
rnacentral:rRNA from 1 species